rnacentral:tRNA from 1 species
GGGGAUGUAGCUCAGUGGCAGAGCGCAUACUUUGCAUGUAUGAGGCCCUGGGUUUAAUCCCCAGCAUCCCCA